GACAGAGGUGCCGAGCGUUAGGCGGAAUCACUGGGCUUAAAGCGUGUGUAGGCGGGCCGUUAAGUGUCUUGUGAAAUCCCCCCGGCUCAACCGGGGGAAUUGCUGGGCAUACUGGCGGUCUUGAGCAAUCUAGGGGCAGAUGGAACAAGUGGUGGAGCGGUGAAAUGCGUAGAUAUCACUUGGAACGCCAAAGGUGAAGACAGUCUGCUGGGGAUUUGCUGACGCUGAGACACGAAAGCCAGGGGAGCGAACGGG
rnacentral:rRNA from 1 species